rnacentral:rRNA from 1 species
GACGAACGCUGGCGGCGUGCUUAACACAUGCAAGUCGAACGGAAAGGCCCUGCUUUUGUGGGGUGCUCGAGUGGCGAACGCGUGAGUAACACGUGAGUAACCUGCCCUUCACUUUGGGAUAACUUCAGGAAACUGGGGCUAAUACCGGAUAGGAUCUCCUGCUGCAUGGUGGGGGUUGGAAAGUUUCGGCGGGUGGGGAUGGACUCGCGGCUGAUCAGCUUGUUGGUUGGGUAGUGGCAUACCAAGGCUUUGGAGGGUAGCCGGCCCGUGAGGGUGGCCGGCCACCUUGCGACUGCGAUAGGGACCAGAGUCCUAUGGGAGGCAGCAGUGGGGAACAUUGCACAACGGGCGGAAGCGUGAUGCGGCAACGCCGCGUGCGGGAUGACCGCUUUUGGGUUGUAAAACGCUUUAGCCUGUGACGCAGCGUUAGUGACGGUAAUGAGUAAAGAAGCACCGGCUAACUACGUG